AUUGAACGCUGGCGGCAGGCCUAACACAUGCAAGUCGAACGAGUGGCGGACGGGUGAGUAAUGUCUGGGAAACUGCCUGAUGGAGGGGGAUAACUCCUGGAAACUGUAGGUAAUACCGCAUAGCAUCCGCUGUGCCAAGAUGGGGUGAGCUAGUUGGGGGGGUAACGGCUCACAAAGGCGACGCUCCCUAGAUGGUCGGAGAGGAAGACCAGCCACACUGGAAAUGAGACACGGGCCAGACUCCUACGGGAGGCAGCAGUGGGGAAAAUUGCACAAUGGGCGCAAGCCUGAUGAAGCCAUGCCGCGUGUAUGAAGAAGGCCUUCGGGUUGUAAAGUACUUGCAGCGGGGAGGCGUUACCCGCAGAAGAAGCACCGGCUAACUCCGUGCCAGCAGCCGCGGUAAUAC
rnacentral:rRNA from 1 species